rnacentral:rRNA from 1 species
UACAGAGGGUGCAAGCGUUGUUCGGAAUUAUUGGGCGUAAAGGGCGCGUAGGCAGUGCUGUAAGUCUGUAGUGAAAUCUCUGGGCUCAACUCAGAGUCUGCUAUAGAAACUGCAGUGCUCGAGUGCGGGAGAGGUGAGUGGAAUUCCCAGUGUAGAGGUGAAAUUCGUAGAUAUUGGGAAGAACACCGGUGGCGAAGGCGGCGUUCUGGACUGCAACUGACACUGAGGAACGAAAGCCAGGGGAGCAAACGGG